rnacentral:SRP_RNA from 1 species
GACCCGGACUCAUGCGGUUGUAACGCCCAAACCUUGUCAGAACCGGAAGGUAGCAGCAAUACGGGAUGCUUAUGACAGGCUUGAAAUUCGGGUCUUUG